rnacentral:rRNA from 1 species
CCUACGGGAGGCAGCAGUGAGGAAUAUUGGGCAAUGGCCGGAAGGCUGAACCAGCCAAGCCGCGUGAAGGACGAAGGUGCCAAGCAUUGUAGACUUCUUUUGUCAAGGGACAAAAUCAGGCUCGAGAGCCUGACCGAGGGUACUUGAAGCAAAAGCAUCGGCUAACUCCGUGCCAGCAGCCGCGGUAAUACGGAGGAUGCGAGCGUUAUCCGGAUUUAUUGGGUUUGAAGGGUGCGUAGGCGGACUGUUAAGUCAGCGGUAAAAGCACGGGGCUCAACCCCGGCGAGCCGUUGAAACUGGCGGUCUUGAGAGGGCGAGAGGUAUGCGGAAUGCGUAGUGUAGCGGUGAAAUGCUUAGAUAUUGCGCAGAACUCCGAUUGCGAAGGCAGCAUACCGGCGGCGAUCUGACGCUGAGGCACGAAAGCGUGGGUAUCGAACAGGAUUAGAUACCCCAGUAGUC